AAGCAACUCAACUCUUAUUGAAGACACCAGCGCUGGCCUCACACACGCAGUCGAGUCUAAACACACUUCCUCAACCGCACACAGGAUGAAGUGCAGGUCUGAUCAGUUUCUCACCAGGGCGUCCGGCGUGUCCAGGUCCAUGACGGAGUGGGUGAUCCAUCUGGCUUGCUGGUCUCGUUUGUAGGGGUCCAGUCGGUGAAAGAGCUCCUCGUAUUUAUCCCAGUCUGUGUCUCUAGGGAGGGUGAAGUUGAAGUUAUACAUGACCUGUUCAGCCGUUGACCUGUGGCAGGUGUGUGUGGAUGUGUCCCACGCUGGAGAAUACGCCACAGGACUCCAGUACUCCUGAAAGGAACAGGAACCCUCUGUUUCCGUUGUAUCCACAUUCUUCUCCUGCAGGGGCUGCUGGGAAGGAGGCGGUUGUCUUGUGGGCUUCUUCUCAGCUUUUUUGGUCAGACUGAUGCAGGUUAUGACAGGACUGUGAUCUUUGCCAUUGGAUUCUGUCAAAUGACCUGAAGGAAGUAACAUCGAUUAUGCCGCUUUUGCAUUAUUAUUUAGUUCAAGUGUUUUUAGGUUUCUCACCAGCAGGCUCUGUGUUGUUCCUGGACUCCUCUGAGACACUUUGACCCCGAUUUUUCACUCCUACCAGUUUCUGGAUUUUCUUCAGCUUUCCUUGCGUCUCGUCCUCGCCCUCUGACCUCCUGGGCUGAAAUAAAGUGACAUUGGGUGAUUACAGCACGUGAGGAGGGAGAUCGGAGAUGCUCCUUACAGUUGACCUCCCUUAAUCUGGCUGAAGAUCAACACACAUGAAAUUCCCUAAACUGCUGGGGCUUCUGGAUGAAAGUGAAAUUGUGUUGCUGCUGUGAUUUACCUGGACCGAAGGAUUUCUCUGAGUUUUCUCCGAAUUCGCCCGCUCCUCUAUCCCUUCUACAGCACGUGCGGAUGAACCCACCAUGGCGAUGCAGGGCUCGGAUCCACUCCACACGCCCAUGUUCUUCGCAGAGUUUGGGCUGG